UACGUAGGGGGCUAGCGUUGUCCGGAAUCAUUGGGCGUAAAGCGCGCGUAGGCGGCCCUGUUAGUCCGCUGUAAAAGUCAAAGGCUCAACCUUUGAAUGCCGGUGGAUACUGCAGGGCUAGAGUCCGGAAGAGGCGAGUGGAAUUCCUGGUGUAGCGGUGAAAUGCUUAGAUAUGACAUAGAACACCAAUUGCGAAGGCAGCUCACUACGCGAAUAUUGACACUGAGGCACGAAAGCGUGGGGAUCAAACAGG
rnacentral:rRNA from 1 species